rnacentral:sRNA from 1 species
GGCUGUGUUAUAUUUUGUUCAUAAAUCUUUGGAGCCUUGUACAGAAAAGAACUCUUUUCAAAAACGAAAUUUUUGUGAAUGUUUUAGGCCUGUUCCAGUCUCUCCUGUAAUUAAACAUUGUGCCAUUGGGUCCGCCGGCAUUUUGGAGACUUGGAGGCUGAAAAUAAUCACAAUAUUUCUAAAAUCGUUUUGCCCACUAAGUAGACCUUAUUUCCGUGAAGAAAUUGACUUAAGGCAAGAAAACUCGCCACCCUAUCAAGAUGUGUAAUCCAUGCUAUUCGUGUUGCGGCUCCUGCUGCUCACCCUGCUGUAGCCCCUGUUGCGGUCCCUGCGGUCCCUGCGGCCCCUGUGGCCCCUGCGGCCGCGGCCCAUGCGGCCCUUGCAACCCUUGCUGUGGAAAGCGAAAUGGACUACAACCCUGUUGUGGCGGGUGUGGACCAUGCUGUUAACUAAACCUUCUUCAGAACGAAAUAAAGGAAUAAUGCAAUAGUACUAGAAAAAAUAUAUAAGACACUUUGUAUUUUGUAAAAUUUCAAUAAGUAAUAAAUCUCACCAACUAAAAUUAUA